GACAGCCGACCACGCGGCCCGGGACAGCAGAGCUAGGGCGGCCCAGUUCACCUGAGGGUGCCGGCUCAAAGGGCCGGGCUGUCCCCACCCCAAGGCUGCGCGCCGUGGAAACUCACCCUCGCAGGUUGGGCACGGUGCUAAGCAUGGACCUCACAAAGCUGAGCCAGAUGUUCCCAAAGAGCAAAGAGGCUCAAGGAUAGAAGAAUUUAUGGAGGUGGUUACAGAGGAAGAGAGAAGGUUUCUCUUCUCUAUAAGGCAUGGUCAUCCACUGAGUGAGAGAAUAGCGUGAACCAAAAGAGAACGAUGAAGUGAGAGAAGAGUUACUAAGCAACCAUAGACAAAUCGUGUCUAAAGACUGCCCAGCUGAGAACCUGCCCAUUCACACCCCUGAAGAACAAACCGGCCUACCUGUUCCAACAUCACUAUGGAAUCUUGGAGUACUCCUUUUAGGCGGUGGGCCUGAUCUUUGUUCUUUUGAAUAUUUUCUGUUCUUGAGAACCUGUCAGAGACUAAACUAGAAGACAAAAAAAAAUUUUUAAUCAUGAAAGCAGCUGCUUAUCUUUUAUUUACAGAAAUUAUUGUGCCCCAUGAAUUGCAAAUAAAACACAAAAUCAAACCCACC
rnacentral:lncRNA from 1 species